rnacentral:rRNA from 1 species
UACGUAGGGGGCUAGCGUUGUCCGGAUUUAUUGGGCGUAAAGAGCGUGUAGGCGGCCAGGUAGGUCUGGUGUGAAAACUCGAGGCUUAACCUCGAGAUGUCAUCGGAAACCAUCUGGCUAGAGUCCGGAAGAGGAGAGUGGAAUUCCUGGUGUAGCGGUGAAAUGCGUAGAUAUCUGGAGGAAUACCGGUGGCGAAGGCGGCAUCCUGGACCGACAUUGACGCUGAUGAGCGAAAGCCAGGGGAGCAAACGGG